GAUGAACGCUGGCGGCGUGCCUAAUACAUGCAAGUCGAGCGAACAGACGAGGAGCUUGCUCCUCUGACGUUAGCGGCGGACGGGUGAGUAACACGUGGAUAACCUACCUAUCAGACUGGGAUAACUUCGGGAAACCGGAGCUAAUACCGGAUAAUAUAUUGAACCGCAUGGUUCAAUAGUGAAAGACGGUUUUGCUGUCACUUAUAGAUGGAUCCGCGCCGCAUUAGCUAGUUGGUAAGGUAACGGCUUACCAAGGCGACGAUGCGUAGCCGACCUGAGAGGGUGAUCGGCCACACUGGAACUGAGAAACGGUCCAGACUCCUACGGGAGGCAGCAGUAGGGAAUCUUCCGCAAUGGGCGAAAGCCUGACGGAGCAACGCCGCGUGAGUGAUGAAGGUCUUCGGAUCGUAAAACUCUGUUAUUAGGGAAGAACAAAUGUGUAAGUAACUAUGCACGUCUUGACGGUACCUAAUCAGAAAGCCACGGCUAACUACGUG
rnacentral:rRNA from 1 species